UUAUAAUUUAACUUUGUUCAGACGCAUUGUACGGGUAAAAUCCUUUGGCGGGCUGAGCCCGCCAAAGCAACAGGUUGGUAGAUUGGGUUUGAGGUCGGCCGCAGCCUUCUCAGUAAUGAUCCUUCCGCAGGUUCUAGAAAAGUUAGCAUUUGAAUUUAUUCAGUGCGCAUAUCAUAAUUACUUACCACCUACGGAAA
rnacentral:misc_RNA from 1 species